GUAGGUGGCAAGCGUUGUCCGGAAUUAUUGGGGCGUAAGGCGCGCGCAGGCGGUCCUUUAAGUCUGAUGUGAAAGCCCACGGGCUCAACCGUGGGAGGGUCAUUGGAAACUGGGGGACUUGAGUGCAGAAGAGAAGAGUGGAAUUCCACGUGUAGCGGUGAAAUGCGUAGAGAUGUGGAGGAACACCAGUGGCGAAGGCGACUCUUUGGUCUGUAACUGACGCUGAGGCGCGAAAGCGUGGGGAGCAAACAGGAUUAGAUACCCUGGUAGUCCACGCCGUAAACGAUGAGUGCUAAGUGUUAGAGGGUUUCCGCCCUUUAGUGCUGCAGCAAACGCAUUAAGCACUCCGCCUGGGGAGUACGGCCGCAAAGGCUG
rnacentral:rRNA from 1 species